rnacentral:misc_RNA from 1 species
UUUCCGUAGGUGAACCUGCGGAAGGAUCAUUCAUAAUAAGUGUUUUAUGGCACUUUUUUAAAUCCAUAUCCACCUUGUGUGCAAUGUCAGGGUUGAUUUUUCUCUCGAGAGGAUCAGCCCCCAAACAUCAACUAUAUCUCAACUCUUUGUCUGAAAAAUAUUAUGAAUAAAACAAUUCAAAAUACAACUUUCAACAACGGAUCUCUUGGCUCUC